UAAAACGUAGGUGACAAGCGUUAUCCGGAUUUAUUGGGCGUAAAGAGGGCGCAGGCGGCUUUUCAAGUCGGAUGUAAAAUCUCCCAGCUUAACUGGGAGGGGUCACCCGAUACUGUUAAGCUAGAGUGCAACAGGGGGAGGUAGAAUUCCCGGUGUAGUGGUGAAAUGCGUAGAUAUCGGGAGGAAUACCAGUGGCGAAGGCGGCCUCCUGGGUUGUUACUGACGCUUAAGCCCGAAGGCGUGGGGAGCAAACAGGAUUAGAUACCCUGGUAGUCCACGCUGUAAACUAUGGACACUGGGUAUAGGGAGUAUCGACCCUCUCUGUGCCGAAGCUAACGCGUUAAGUGUCCCGCCUGGGAACUACGGCCGCAAGGCUA
rnacentral:rRNA from 1 species